rnacentral:rRNA from 1 species
UAAUACAUAUCUAACAUGCCCCUCUGUGGGGGAUAGCCACUUGAAAAAGUGAUUAAUACCCCAUAGGAAGCUUUAUCCAUGAUUUAGCUUUUAAAGCCUUCGGGCGCUGAGGGAUCGGGAUAUGCUCUAUUAGCUAGUUGGCGGGAUAAAAGCCCACCAAGGCAAUGAUAGAUAGCUGGUCUUAGAGGAUGAACAGCCACAAUGGGAUUGAGAUACGGCCCAUAUUCCUACGGGAAGCAGCAGUAGGGAAUCUUCCACAAUGGACGAAAGUCUGAUGGAGCAAUACCAUGUGAACGAUGAAGGCCUUUUUGGUUGUAAAGUUCUUUUACGAGGGAUAAUUAUGAUAGUACUUCGUGAAUAAGUGACAGCAAACUAUGUGCCAGCAGCUGCGGUAAUACAUAGGUCGCAAGCAUUAUUCGGAUUUAUUGGGCGUAAAGCAAGCGCAGGCGGAUGUGUAAGUUCUGUGUUAAAUGCAGCUACUCAAUAGUUGUAUGCACCGAAUACUACAUGUCUAGAUUGUGGUAGGGAGUUUCGGAAUUAAGCAUGGAGCGGUGGAAUGUGUAGAUAUGCUUAAGAACACCAGAGGCGAAGGCGGAAACUUAGGCCAUAAAUGACGCUUAGGCUUGAAAGUGUGGGGAGCAAAUGGGAUUAGAUACCCCAGUAGUCCACACCGUAAACGAUGGGUAUUAGAUAUUAGGGCUUUAGCUUUAGUGUUGUAGCUUACGCGUUAAAUACCCCGCCUGGGUAGUACAUAUGCAAAUAUGAAACUCAAAGGAAUUGACGGGGACCUGAACAAGUGGUGGAGCAUGUUGCUUAAUUCGAUAAUACACGAAAAACCUUACCAAGGUUUGACAUCCCUCGCAAAGCUAUAGAAAUAUAGUAGAGGUUAUCGAGGUGACAGGUGGUGCAUGGCUGUCGUCAGCUCGUGUCUUGAGAUGUUUGGUUAAGUCCCGCAACGAGCGCAACCCCACUCUUUAGUUACUUGUCUAAAGAGACUGCACAGUAAUGUAGAGGAAGGAUGGGAUCACGUCAAGUCAUCAUGCCCCUUAUGCCUUGGGCUGCAAACGUGCUACAAUGGCGAACACAAUGUGUUGCAAACCAGCGAUGGUAAGCUAAUCACCAAAUUUCGUCUCAGUUCGGAUAGGAGGCUGCAAUUCGCCUCCUUGAAGUUGGAAUCA